AGUGAACGCUGGCGGUAGGCCUAACACAUGCAAGUCGAACGGCAACACAGUAAGAGCUUGCUCUUACGGGUGGCGAGUGGCGGACGGGAGAGGAAUACAUCGGAAUCUACUUUUUCGUGGGGGAUAACGUAGGGAAACUUACGCUAAUACCGCAUACGACCUACGGGUGAAAGCAGGGGAUCUUCGGACCUUGCGCGAUUGAAUGAGCCGAUGUCGGAUUAGCUAGUUGGCGGGGUAAAGGCCCACCAAGGCGACGAUCCGUAGCUGGUCUGAGAGGAUGAUCAGCCACAUGGGAACUGAGACACGGUCCAGACUCCUACGGGAGGCAGCAGUGGGGAAUAUUGGACAAUGGGCGCAAGCCUGAUCCAGCCAUACCGCGUGGGUGAAGAAGGCCUUCGGGUUGUAAAGCCCUUUUGUUGGGAAAGAAAAGCAGCAGGUUAAUACCCCGCUGUUCUGACGGUACCCAAAGAAUAAGCACCGGCUAACUUCGUG
rnacentral:rRNA from 1 species